AAGUCACCAAGUGUAGAACAGAGGAAGGCGUGCCAUCCUCUCAUUGGAAACACGAAGUUCUCACAAUAAUGGGAGUGUCACAACAUUUUUUUUCAACCCUUAAGAACUGUCUUUUUUUAAUGCUAUCGUGUUUUGAAUCUUUGUUGUUUUCUGAUUUCUCGUUACCUGUUCAUUCGUGACAGUUGAAAAAUCAAGCACCAGGAUUUAUUUCGCGUGGAGCAGUUUGGAUGGAGUUUUUAGCGGCGAAAGAGCCGCGAACUUAGGAUGUCUUCAGGCGCAUCACGCGCGACGACACCAGGAUGCUUUACAAGCACAGCAAGCACCUGAGUGGACGAUACAAGAAGUCUGCACAUCACUUGGUCUGGCUCCUCUGUCUUUGGGUUCACCUCUUGCCUCAAGUGGAUGGCUUCUUUAUGUCUAAUGCUAAGGCUGUCCUGCAAGGGUGUGAUGACUACUGGACCUUACAGGAGAAGGAGCGUAUGCCUCUGCUCUUUCAAACCACGGUAUGCGUGGACAUACAGGUCCUUUCCCCAGGCGAGUGGACAGCAUUUAACUAUGUCUCGGCCCCUGCACCCAGCUAUGAACUUGCUCUCCAAGGGGAUGCAAACAACCUGUACGCCUGGUUGUUGGGUGUACGCCACCAGUUCCCUGUCCAGCUAACCACUAAUCGCUGGUACCACAUAUGUCUACGGUUGGACGCCCCUCGCAAAAGCUUCAGCCUGACGAUAGGUGGCAACUCGGAAGUAUUCCAGCGGACCGUCAUUGCCCGAACAAUCCGUCCUUCGGGGCGUCUUCUGCUGGGUUGCCAACCAAACAAAGCCUCCCCUGGGGCAAAAAUGGCCACCGUGGAGCUCUACCUGUUCCGCAUUUGGGACGAUGUUGGUGAGCACAAAGCCUGCGAGGAUGGGACAGUGAUUGGCUGGGACUCACGACUUUGGGCCAUCACACGAGCCCAGGCUAGAGUCCAAGAUUAUACAUUGCAAUGUGGUCUAGGGCAUCUGCGUAUGAAACGCAGUGCAGACAGUACUACAACUUCAUCCACAUCCCAAGUUUCAGCCAGCACCCCAGACUUUGUCUCGACAUCUAGUCCACUCCAAAUGAUUUUGACUUCAAUAAUCACUGGUUCACUGAAAUCCAUCACCCAAGGACAGAGCCUUCAAUCUUUGAACCAGGCCUUAAACACAGUCCCUGCUUCAACCCCACAAGCCAGAACCACACCAGAUCCUGCAGGACUCUCUACAACAACUUCUAUACCUCCAGUGACUCUCAGUGCACCAACACAAAUUCCCCUCACAUCAGAUACUACAUUAAACAAUCUUACACCCACUAUUCAGGCUGUUUCAGCUGUUAACACUAGUGGAUUAAACACGUCCGCUCCAACUCCAGCCUCACCUAUGUCUUACAUAACCACUCAAACUACCCAGAGCACGUCAACAUCUGCCCAGUCACUUUCAAGCUAUCACACUAGCCAACCAGUCAGUACUUUUGAAACAACAGUCAAUCAUAGGACAGAAAUCUCUUCCACUGCACCAACUGUCACGACUCAAGUAACCAAUCAGACAGCGCUUCUACGAACAACGAUGUCCAAUGUAUUAUUCACAGGUAUGGCUAUUAUCACUGCGUUCUGA
rnacentral:lncRNA from 1 species